rnacentral:rRNA from 1 species
CCCUAUGGGGUGCAGCAGGCGCGAAAAUUUUACACUGCUCGAAAGAGUGAUAAAGGCAUCCAAAGUGCUUUCUCUUAUAUGAGGAAGCUUUUGUAAUGUGUAAAAAGCAUUAUGAAUAAGGGCUGGGCAAGACUGGUGCCAGCCGCCGCGGUAAUACCAGCGGCCCAAGUGGUAGCCAUUUUUAUUGGGUCUAAAGCGUUCGUAGCUGGUUCUGUAAAUUCCUUGUGAAACUGUACAGCUCAACUGUAUUACGAGCAAGAAACACUACAGAACUUGAGACCGGGAGAAGCAAAGGGAAUGGAUAGGGAAGUGGUAAAAUGCUAUAAUCCUAUCUAGACCACCAAUGGCGAAGGCACUUUGCUAGAACGGGUCUGACAGUCAGGAACGAAAGCUAGGGGAGCGAACCGGAUUAGAUACCCGGGUAGUCCUAGCUGUAAACGCUGCAUACUAAACAUCGCUCUCUCUUCGUGAGAAAGCGGUGCUGAAGCGAAGGCGUUAAGUGUGCCACCUGGGGAGUACGGUCGCAAGACUGAAACUUAAAGGAAUAGGCGGGGGAGCGCUACAAGGGGUGACGCGUGCGGUUUAAUUAGAUUUCACACCGUGAACCUCACCAGGAGCGACAGCAGAAUGAAGGUCUGUUUAAAUAGCACACCAGACACGCUGAGAGGAGGUGCAUGGCCAA